GACAAGUUUGCCUCGAUUGUACUAAUUCUAUUUUGCCGUACACUACAGCUGGCAUCUAUAACCCUAGCUAGUGUAGUAUUAUCUCUAUUAAGUAUCCUUGUGGCUCCACUCACUUGUCCAUUCUACAAAGGACGUGUGGCCAUGAGCCUUCUCCUUAUGAGAAACGGCAAAAAAUGGAAUAGGUGUGUGUACCAAUGAAUAUUGGAAGAAAGGGAUAACAUAGAGGAGUGUCA
rnacentral:lncRNA from 1 species